AUUGAACGCUGGCGGCAGGCCUAACACAUGCAAGUCGAACGGUAGCACAGAGAGCUUGCUCUCGGGUGACGAGUGGCGGACGGGUGAGUAAUGUCUGGGAAACUGCCUGAUGGAGGGGGAUAACUACUGGAAACGGUAGCUAAUACCGCAUAACGUCGCAAGACCAAAGAGGGGGACCUUCGGGCCUCUUGCCAUCAGAUGUGCCCAGAUGGGAAUAGCUAGUAGGUGGGGUAACGGCUCACCUAGGCGACGAUCCCUAACUGGUUUGAGAGGGUGACCAGCCACACUGGAACUGAGACACGGUCCAGACUCCUACGGGAGGCAGCAGUGGGGAAUAUUGCACAAUGGGCGCAAGCCUGAUGCAGCCAGGCCGCGUGUAUGAAGAAGGCCGUCGGGUUGUAAAGUACUUUCAGCGGGGAGGAAGGUGUUGUGGUUAAUAACCGCAGCAAUUGACGUUACCCGCAGAAGAAGCACCGGCUAACUCCGUGCCAGCCGCCGCGGUAAGAC
rnacentral:rRNA from 1 species